rnacentral:rRNA from 1 species
GACAGAGGGUGCAAACGUUGUUCGGAAUUACUGGGCUUAAAGCGUGUGUAGGCGGCCAUAUAAGUCGGAUGUGAAAGCCCUGGGCUCAACCCAGGAAGUGCACUCGAUACUGUAUGGCUUGAGUAUCGGAGAGGUUGGUGGAAUUCUCGGUGUAGAGGUGAAAUGCGUAGAUAUCUGGAGGAAUACCGGUGGCGAAGGCGGCGACCUGGGAAGAUACUGACGCUGAGAUGCGAAAGCGUGGGGAGCAAACAGG